rnacentral:rRNA from 1 species
UACGUAGGGGGCAAGCGUUAUCCGGAUUUACUGGGUGUAAAGGGAGCGUAGACGGACGGGCAAGUCUGAAGUGAAAGGCAGGGGCUCAACCCCUGGACUGCUUUGGAAACUGUCUAUCUAGAGUGCCGGAGAGGUAAGCGGAAUUCCUAGUGUAGCGGUGAAAUGCGUAGAUAUUAGGAGGAACACCAGUGGCGAAGGCGGCUUACUGGACGGUAACUGACGUUGAGGCUCGAAAGCGUGGGGAGCAAACAGG